AGCGAACGCUGGCGGCAGGCCUAAUACAUGCAAGUCGAACGGCUCUUCGGAGCAGUGGCGGACGGGUGAGUAACACGUGGGAACGUGCCCUUUGGUACGGAACAACUGAGGGAAACUUCAGCUAAUACCGUAUGUGCCCCCAUUCUUAGCGGGAUGGGUGGGAAAGAUUUAUCGCCAUUGGAGCGGCCCGCGUUGGAUUAGCUAGUUGGUGGGGUAAAGGCCCACCAAGGCUACGAUCCAUAGCUGGUCUGAGAGGAUGAUCAGCCACACUGGGACUGAGACACGGCCCAGACUCCUACGGGAGGCAGCAGUAGGGAAUCUUGCGCAAUGGGCGAAAGCCUGACGCAGCCAUGCCGCGUGAAUGAUGAAGGUCUCAGGGUUGUAAAAUUCUUUCACCGGGGAAGAUAAUGACGGUAACCGGAGAAGAAGCCCCGGCUAACUUCGUGCCAGCAGCCGCGGUAA
rnacentral:rRNA from 1 species